AGUACCCGGAGGAAGAGAAAACAACCGUGACUCCCUCAGUAGCGGCGAGCGAACGGGGACCAGCCUAAACCUCUCGGGACACCGAGGGGGGUCGUGGGGCCGGUGCGAUGGGAUGAGCGACCGUUAGCCGAACGCCCUUGGAAAAGGGGGCCAGAGCGGGUGACAGCCCCGUAGGCGACAAUGGAAGCUCCCCUAACCGGUACCCGAGUAGGGUCGGGCACGUGAAACCCGGCCUGAAUCGGCGGGGACCAUCCCGCAAGGCUAAGCACUCGAUGACGACCGAUAGCGAACCCAGUAGGGCGACCGAACGGUGGGAAGAACCCCGACCAGGGGAGGACACUGAACCUGAAACCCCGUGCCUACAAGCGGUGGGAGGGCCAUGGCGUUCGCGCCGGCCUGACCGCGUGCCUUUUGCAUAAUGAUCCGGCGAGUUACCGUGCCCGGCCCCAGGUUAACCCCUUCAGGGGGGGAGCCGCAGCGAAAGCGAGUCUGAAUAGGGCGAUUUAGUCGGGCGUGGUAGACGCGAAACGAGGUGAACUACCCAUGGGCAGGUUGAAGCGGCCCUAACCGGCCGUGGAGGACCGAACCCACCAGUGUUGAAAAACUGGGGGAGGACCCGUGGGGAGGAGUGAAAGUCUUAUCAAACCUCGAGAUAGCUCGUUCUCUCCGAAAUGGCUUUAGGGCCAGCGUCGGGACAUAUCCGCGGGGGGUAGAGCGACGGAAUUCGGCCGGGGGGCUUCCCGCCUACCCGCCGAAACCCAACUCCGAAUACCCGCGGACGGACCCCGGCAGUCAGAGCGCGGGGGAGAAGCUUCGCGCUCGAGAGGGAAACAACCCAGACCGCCGACCAAGGCCCCCAAUGCGACGCUCAGUGGCAAAGGAAGUGGGAUCGCGGUGACAGCCGGGAUGUUGGCUUAGAAGCAGCCACCAUUUCAAAAGUGCGUAACAGCUUACCGGUCGAGCCAUCCCGCGCCGAAAAUGACGGGGACUAAGCGUCGAGCCGCAGUCGCGGAUUCGCAAGAAUGGUAGGAGAGCGUCGUCGCCCGCGGCGAAGCCGGACCGUAAGGACCGGUGGAGCGGCGACGAGUGCUUAUGCCGGAACGAGUAACGACAAGACGGGUGGGAAGCCCGUCCGCCGAAAGCACAAGGUUUCCUGGGGAAGGUCAAUCCGCCCAGGGUCAGUCGGGACCUAAGGCGAGGCCGAAAGGCGUAGCCGAUGGGCAGGGGGUUAAUAUUCCUCCACCCGGCGCGUAGGUUGAACCAGCGAGGACGCCGAGACAAGACGGAUCGGGGCGCUAGACGUCCCCGUCCCGCAAGGGCGACGGCAUUCGAUCCGGAAGUCCGUCAACCUCUCGGCCACGAAAAGCCCGCUGGGGACGAAACGCCGGCCCGUACCGCAAUCCGACACAGGUGUGCUAGGCGAGCAUCCGAAGGCGUUCGGGAGAACCCUCGUGAAGGAACUCGGCAAAAUGGCCCCGUACCCUCGGUACAAGGGGCGCUCAGGGCAACCUGAGCCGCAGAGAAUCGGCACUAGCGACUGUUUAUCAAAAACACAGGACUCUGCCAACUCGCAAGAGGACGUAUAGAGUCUGACGCCUGCUCGGUGUCGGUAGGUUAAGGGAGCCGAUCAGCGCAAGCGACGUUGGCGACCGAAGCCCCGAUAAACGGCGGCCGUAACUAUGACGGUCCUAAGGUAGCGAAGUUCCUUGUCGGGUAAGUUCCGACCUGCAUGAAUGGCGUAACGACUGGA
rnacentral:rRNA from 1 species